rnacentral:tRNA from 1 species
GGAGGGAUCGCAUAGUGGUCUAGUGCGCGCGCUUGGAAAGCGCGUGUACCGCAAGGUACCGUGGGUUCAAAUCCCACUCCCUCCG